rnacentral:rRNA from 1 species
CAUGCAGUCGAACGGCAGCACGGGGGCAACCCUGGUGGCGAGUGGCGAACGGGUGAGUAAUACAUCGGAACGUGUCCUGUAGUGGGGGAUAGCCCGGCGAAAGCCGGAUUAAUACCGCAUACGCUCUACGGAGGAAAGGGGGGGAUCUUAGGACCUCCCGCUACAGGGGCGGCCGAUGGCAGAUUAGCUAGUUGGUGGGGUAAAGGCCUACCAAGGCGACGAUCUGUAGCUGGUCUGAGAGGACGACCAGCCACACUGGGACUGAGACACGGCCCAGACUCCUACGGGAGGCAGCAGUGGGGAAUUUUGGACAAUGGGGGCAACCCUGAUCCAGCAAUGCCGCGUGUGUGAAGAAGGCCUUCGGGUUGUAAAGCACUUUUGUCCGGAAAGAAAACGUCGUGGUUAAUACCCGUGGCGGCUGACGGUACCGGAAGAAUAAGCACCGGCUAACUACGUGCCAGCAGCCGCGGUAAUACGUAGGGUGCAAGCGUUAAUCGGAAUUACUGGGCGUAAAGCGUGCGCAGGCGGUCCGCUAAGACAGAUGUGAAAUCCCCGGGCUUAACCUGGGAACUGCAUUUGUGACUGGCGGGCUAGAGUAUGGCAGAGGGGGGUAGAAUUCCACGUGUAGCAGUGAAAUGCGUAGAGAUGUGGAGGAAUACCGAUGGCGAAGGCAGCCCCCUGGGCCAAUACUGACGCUCAUGCACGAAAGCGUGGGGAGCAAACAGGAUUAGAUACCCUGGUAGUCCACGCCCUAAACGAUGUCAACUAGUUGUCGGGUCUUCAUUGACUUGGUAACGUAGCUACGCGUGAAGUUGACCGCCUGGGGAGUACGGUCGCAGAUUAAACUCAAGGAAUUGACGGGACCCGCACAGCGGUGGAUGAUGUGGAUUAAUUCGAUGCACGCGAAAACCUUACUACCCUUGACAUGUAUGGAAUCCUGCUGA